GAUGAACGCUGGCGGCGUGCCUAAUACAUGCAAGUCGAGCGAACAGACGAGGAUCUUUCUCCUCUCUCACUAUCGGCGGACGGGGGAGUAACACGUGGAUAACCCCUCCAUAUGACUCUGAUAUCUUCUCGAAACCGGGGCUCUUAUCCGGUAACAUGUUUAACCUCAUGUUUCAACAUUGUAAGACGCUCUUGCUCUCACUCAUAUAUAUAUCCCCGCCGCAUUAGCUAGUUGGUAAGGUAACGGCUUACCAAGGCAACGAUGCGUAGCCGACCUGAGAGGGUGAUCGGCCACACUGGAACUGAGACACGGUCCAGACUCCUACGGGAGGCAGCAGUAGGGAAUCUUCCGCAAUGGGCGAAAGCCUGACGGAGCAACGCCGCGUGAGUGAAGAAGGUUUUCGGAUCGUAAAACUCUGUUAUAAGGGAAGAACAAAUGUGUAAGUAACUAUGCACGUCUUGACGGUACCUAAUCAGAAAGCCACGGCUAACUACGUG
rnacentral:rRNA from 1 species